AGUUAUCAAAAUCAAACUGUUUAAUUUUACACGACGAGCGUCUCGGAGGCAAACCCACGCGAUCAAUCACGAGUGUUCACAUUUCUCAUCAUCCUUUAUACAAAUUAUUAUUAUAAUGUGAUAUGAUUUUCAAUCGUACAAUCAUACAACUAUACAAGUGUUAUAAUUAAUAUAUUUUAAUUAUAUAAUAAUAUAUAGAAGAGUUUGGGACCAGUAACAUGGAAGAGAUAAAGUACGUGGCGUGUAAUAAAUAUUUUAAUUACAAAAGAACAUUAAAGCGACACCAAAUUACUUGUGGAUGUAAGGAAUCCAAAAAUGUUAUUAGUAUGAAAUGUCCAGAUUUGUCCUGUAAUAAGUCAUUUACAAACAAAAAACUGUUGAAAUUACAUUAGAGGCAGACCAUGACAUGAAGUUACAAAAUGAACAAAGAACAUUUGCAGCUCUUCGUGAUAAGUAUGAUUUACUGAAUUUUAAUUUUACUUGAAAUAUUCUGUUUUUCUAAAAGACUAGUAUGCCACAAUUAUAGUUGUAUUGAAUUAUAAAAUAUAUACCAUAAGAUUUCAAAGAAUGGAAAUCAAAAAAGGAAUAUAACAAUUUAUGUCGUUACGCAUUAAGAGCUCAAAAAAAUUUCGGACAGAAUAAAAACAUAAAAUAAUCUAUACAUGGUCAUCAAACUGGUAAUUACCAAAGCAGAUCAACGGGUGUCCAUAACAUAAGAAGUCAGGGCAAAAACAAAAUUGGAUCUACAUGUCUAACUUCAAUGUUUAUUUUUCUAGAUACCAGAACCACAGACUAUCAAAGGAUGCUGGGAAUGGAACUUGCAUUUGUCAAACCUGUGAAGCUACUAUUAUUCUACGUUGACAAAAACACGAUAACAUACUAAUAAACAUCAAUGAUUUAUUGCAAUAUUAUUUGUAAAGAUUAUUGAUUAUACCAGUACCACAGAUUAUCAAAGGAUGCUGGGAAUGGAACUUGCAUUUGUCAAACCUGUGAAGCUACUAUUAUUCUACGUUGACGAUAAACGAUAACAUACUAAUAAACAUCAAUGAUUUAUUGCAAUAUUAUUUGUAAAGAUUGUUGAUUAUACCAGUACCACAGAUUAUCAAAGGAUGCUGGGAAUGGAACUUGCAUUUGUCAAACCUGUGAAGCUACUAUUAUUCUACGUUGACAAAAACACGAUAACAUACUAAUAAACAUCAAUGAUUUAUUGCAAUAUUAUUUGUAAAGAUUAUUGAUUAUACCAGUACCACAGACUAUCAAAGGAUGCUGGGAAUGGAACUUGCAUUUGUCAAACCUGUGAAGCUACUAUUAUUCUACGUUGACAAAAAAACGAUAACAUACUAAUAAACAUCAAUGAUUUAUUGCAAUAUUAUUUGUAAAGAUUAUUGAUUAUACCAGUACCACAGAUUAUCAAAGGAUGCUGGGAAUGGAACUUGCAUUUGUCAAACCUGUGAAGCUACUAUUAUUCUACGUUGACGAUAAACGAUAACAUACUAAUAAACAUCAAUGAUUUAUUGCAAUAUUAUUUGUAAAGAUUGUUGAUUAUACCAGUACCACAGACUAUCAAAGGAUGCUGGGAAUGGAACUUGCAUUUGUCAAACCUGUGAAGCUACUAUUAUUCUACGUUGACAAAAAAACGAUAACAUACUAAUAAACAUCAAUGAUUUAUUGCAAUAUUAUUUGUAAAGAUUAUUGAUUAUACCAGUACCACAGAUUAUCAAAGGAUGCUGGGAAUGGAACUUGCAUUUGUCAAACCUGUGAAGCUACUAUUAUUCUACGUUGACGAUAAACGAUAACAUACUAAUAAACAUCAAUGAUUUAUUGCAAUAUUAUUUGUAAAGAUUGUUGAUUAUACCAGUACCACAGACUAUCAAAGGAUGCUGGGAAUGGAACUUGCAUUUGUCAAACCUGUGAAGCUACUAUUAUUCUACGUUGACAAAAAAACGAUAACAUACUAAUAAACAUCAAUGAUUUAUUGCAAUAUUAUUUGUAAAGAUUAUUGAUUAUACCAGUACCACAGAUUAUCAAAGGAUGCUGGGAAUGGAACUUGCAUUUGUCAAACCUGUGAAGCUACUAUUAUUCUACGUUGACGAUAAACGAUAACAUACUAAUAAACAUCAAUGAUUUAUUGCAAUAUUAUUUGUAAAGAUUGUUGAUUAUACCAGUACCACAGACUAUCAAAGGAUGCUGGGAAUGGAACUUGCAUUUGUCAAACCUGUGAAGCUACUAUUAUUCUACGUUGACAAAAAAACGAUAACAUACUAAUAAACAUCAAUGAUUUAUUGCAAUAUUAUUUGUAAAGAUUAUUGAUUAUACCAGUACCACAGAUUAUCAAAGGAUGCUGGGAAUGGAACUUGCAUUUGUCAAACCUGUGAAGCUACUAUUAUUCUACGUUGACGAUAAACGAUAACAUACUAAUAAACAUCAAUGAUUUAUUGCAAUAUUAUUUGUAAAGAUUGUUGAUUGUAAGUUCAUUUUUCAUUACAAAUUAAAUUUUACAUAUCUAAACAAUUUUUUAACAAACACCAUUG